UACGGAGGGUGCAAGCGUUAAUCGGAAUUACUGGGCGUAAGGCGUGCGCAGGCGGUUUGUUAGGUCUGCUGUGAAAUCCCCGAGCUCAACUUGGGAAUUGCAGUGGAUACUGGCAAGCUGGAGUACGGUAGAGGAAGGUGGAAUUCCCGGUGUAGCAGUGAAAUGCGUAGAUAUCGUGAGGAACACCAGAGGCGAAGGCGGUUACCUGGACAGUUACUGACGCUCAGGCACGAAAGCGUGGGGAGCAAAAGGG
rnacentral:rRNA from 1 species